rnacentral:rRNA from 1 species
GACGAACGCUGGCGGCGUGCUUAACACAUGCAAGUCGAACGGAAAGGCCCUGCUUUUGUGGGGUGCUCGAGUGGCGAACGGGUGAGUAACACGUGAGUAACCUGCCCUUGACUUUGGGAUAACUUCAGGAAACUGGGGCUAAUACCGGAUAGGAGCUCCUGCUGCAUGGUGGGGGUUGGAAAGUUUCGGCGGUUGGGGAUGGACUCGCGGCUUAUCAGCUUGUUGGUGGGGUAGUGGCUUACCAAGGCUUUGACGGGUAGCCGGCCUGAGAGGGUGACCGGCCACAUGGGGACUGAGAUACGGCCCAGACUCCUACGGGAGGAAGCAGUGGGGAAUAUUGCACAAUGGGCGGAAGCCUGAUGCAGCAACGCCGCGUGCGGGAUGACGGCCUUCGGGUUGUAAACCGCUUUCGCCUGUGACGAAGCGUGAGUGACGGAAAUGGUAAAGAAGCACCGGCUAACUACGUG